rnacentral:rRNA from 1 species
CCUACGGGGGCAGCAGUGGGGAAUAUUGGACAAUGGGCGAAAGCCUGAUCCAGCCAUGCCGCGUGUGUGAAGAAGGCCUUCGGGUUGUAAAGCACUUUCAGUGGGGAAGAAAGCCUUGGGGCUAAUACCCUCGAGGAAGGACAUCACCCACAGAAGAAGCACCGGCUAACUCCGUGCCAGCAGCCGCGGUAAUACGGAGGGUGCGAGCGUUAAUCGGAAUUACUGGGCGUAAAGCGCGCGUAGGCGGUCUGAUAAGCCGGUUGUGAAAGCCCCGGGCUCAACCUGGGAACGGCAUCCGGAACUGUCAGGCUAGAGUGCAGGAGAGGAAGGUAGAAUUCCCGGUGUAGCAGUGAAAUGCGUAGAGAUCGGGAGGAAUACCAGUGGCGAAGGCGGCCUUCUGGACUGACACUGACGCUGAGGUGCGAAAGCGUGGGUAGCAAACAGGAUUAGAUACCCCGGUAGUC